UUUCCGUAGGUGAACCUGCGGAAGGAUCAUUACCGAGUUAGGGUGUCGCCUCGGCGCGCCCGACCUCCCAACCCUUUGUGAACACAACUUGUUGCUUCGGGGGCGACCCUGCCGUCCGCGGCGUGGGGCCCCCGGAGCCCAUCAAACCCUGCGUAACUAAGUCGUCGGAGUUUAAACAAAUUAAACAAAACUUUCAACAACGGAUCUCUUGGUUCGGGCAUCGAUGAAGAACGCAGC
rnacentral:misc_RNA from 1 species